GGAACGAGUUAUCUGAACCUUCGGGGAACGAUAACGGCGUCGAGCGGCGGACGGGUGAGUAAUGCCUAGGAAAUUGCCCUGAUGUGGGGGAUAACCAUUGGAAACGAUGGCUAAUACCGCAUAAUACCUUCGGGUCAAAGAGGGGGACCUUCGGGCCUCUCGCGUCAGGAUAUGCCUAGGUGGGAUUAGCUAGUUGGUGAGGUAAUGGCUCACCAAGGCGACGAUCCCUAGCUGGUCUGAGAGGAUGAUCAGCCACACUGGAACUGAGACACGGUCCAGACUCCUACGGGAGGCAGCAGUGGGGAAUAUUGCACAAUGGGCGCAAGCCUGAUGCAGCCAUGCCGCGUGUGUGAAGAAGGCCUUCGGGUUGUAAAGCACUUUCAGUCGUGAGGAAGGUGGUAGUGUUAAUAGCACUAUCAUUUGACGUUAGCGACAGAAGAAGCACCGGCUAACUCCGUGCCAGCAGCCGCGGUAAUACGGAGGGUGCGAGCGUUAAUCGGAAUUACUGGGCGUAAAGCGCAUGCAGGUGGUUUGUUAAGUCAGAUGUGAAAGCCCGGGGCUCAACCUCGGAAUAGCAUUUGAAACUGGCAGACUAGAGUACUGUAGAGGGGGGUAGAAUUUCAGGUGUAGCGGUGAAAUG
rnacentral:rRNA from 1 species